rnacentral:rRNA from 1 species
UAAAUUCGUUUUUGUUUUUUUUGAGGAUCUCUUGACACGGGGAACCGUGGGGAAUUUUCUAGAUAAUACACGGGCAAAAAACCCCCGACUUCGGGAGGGGGUGUUUUUAUUAAAUAAAACCCCCCCGCGGGUCGUCGCUCGCUUGGUAUUAUAUAAUAAACUUCUCGAAUCGCAUGGCCUUGGGCCGGGGAUGCUUCAAUCUGAUAUCUGCCCUAUCAACUUUCGAUGGUAGGAUAAAGGCCUACCAUGGGUGCAACGGG